rnacentral:misc_RNA from 1 species
UAUAAAUUAUCGAGCUAAUGUGGUUGAUGGGCUGUCAAAGCUGGUCCGCUGCUCUUCAUCUUUAGUUGGAGAAGCUCUUGCUGUGCUAGGAGGUGUAAAGUUGGGGAUUUAUAAGGGAGCAAGGGCUACUAUUGUGGAAACAGAUUUUGAGACUGUGUUCAAAGCUAUUCAAGAUCAUUAGGGGUUGAUUCCUUGGGAGAUAAAUUGCCGCGGUUCAUUCCAUCAAAAGCCAUUUACUCUUCUACAUAGCCAUUGAAUGGAGCAUCAAUUCAACAACGCAUUGGUUUAACUGUCCCAGGCCCAAACAUUCUGAUAAUGUGCUUCUGUUUGCAUAUCCGUAAGAAUGAAAGCAGAUCACGUCUGAACCAUUAUAGCUGAUAAACUAGUUGCUUUUCUAGAGGAGUUUUGAACUCGGAUUGGUGUACCCAUCAAGGCAUUACGCACAGCCACAGGCCACGGGCAAACACUUGAAGCCCAAGAAGCCUUCUUUAUAAUAAGAAAGUGAAGGCCUAAUUCACCCAUCAGCCAUGCCAAUAUGUUUUCAAAGGAAGGCCUAAUGGGUUAGUAGUAGUACUGUAGGCUAAUGAGAAAGUCAUAUAGAUGAAAAUUUAUUUAGCCAUAAAAUCAAAUAAGAUUGAGA